rnacentral:rRNA from 1 species
GGAUUGAAAUGGGGGCACCCUGAUCCAGCCAUCCCGCGUGUGNGAAGAAGGCCUUCGGGUUGCNAAGCACUUUCGGACGGAACGAAAUCGCACGAUCUAACAAGUCGUGUGGAUGACGGUACCGUAAGAAGAAGCACCGGCUAACUCCGUGCCAGCAGCCGCGGUAAUACGGGGGGGGCAAGCGUUGUUCGGAAUUACUGGGCGUAAAGGGCUCGUAGGCGGCCAACUAAGUCAGACGUGAAAUCCCUCGGCUUAACCGGGGAACUGCGUCUGAUACUGGAUGGCUUGAGGUUGGGAGAGGGAUGCGGAAUUCCAGGUGUAGCGGUGAAAUGCGUAGAUAUCUGGAGGAACACCGGUGGCGAAGGCGGCAUCCUGGACCAAUUCUGACGCUGAGGAGCGAAAGCCAGGGGAGCAAACGGGAUUAGAUACCCCGGUAGUCCUGGCCCUAAACGAUGAAUGCUUGGUGUGGCGGGUAUCGAUCCCUGCCGUGCCGAAGCUAACGCAUUAAGCAUUCCGCCUGGGGAGUACGGUCGCAAGGCUGAAACUCAAAGAAAUUGACGA